UACGUAAGGUGCAAGCGUUAAUCGGAAUUACUGGGCGUAAAGCGUGCGCAGGCGGUUUUGUAAGUCUGUCGUGAAAUCCCCCGGGCUCAACCUGGGAAUUGCGAUGGAGACUGCAAGGCUAGAAUCUGGCAGAGGGGGGUAGAAUUCCACGUGUAGCAGUGAAAUGCGUAGAGAUGUGGAGGAACACCGAUGGCGAAGGCAGCCCCCUGGGUCAAGAUUGACGCUCAUGCACGAAAGCGUGGGGAGCAAACGAGG
rnacentral:rRNA from 1 species